UACGGGGGGAGCAAGCGUUGUUCGGAUUUACUGGGCGUAAAGGACGCGUAGGCGGCCAGCACAAGUCAGUUGUGAAAUCUCCGAGCUUAACUCGGAAAGGUCAACUGAUACUGUGCGGCUAGAGUGCAGAAGGGGCAACUGGAAUUCUUGGUGUAGCGGUGAAAUGCGUAGAUAUCAAGAGGAACACCUGCGGCGAAGGCGGGUUGCUGGGCUGACACUGACGCUGAGGCGCGAAAGCUAGGGGAGCGAACGGG
rnacentral:rRNA from 1 species